CAAUAGCGUAUAUUAAAGUUGUUGCAGUUAAAAAGCUCGUAGUUGAACUUCAGACCUGGCCGGGCGGUCUGCCUAACGGUAUGUACUGUCUGGCUGGGUCUUACCUCUUGGUGAGCCGGCAUGCCCUUUACUGGGUGUGUCGGGGAACCAGGACUUUUACCUUGAGAAAAUUAGAGUGUUCAAAGCAGGCCUAUGCCUGAAUACAUUAGCAUGGAAUAAUAAAAUAGGACGUGCGGUUCUAUUUUGUUGGUUUCUAGAGUCGCCGUAAUGAUUAAUAGGGAUAGUUGGGGGCAUUAGUAUUCAGUUGCUAGAGGUGAAAUUCUUGGAUUUACUGAAGACUAACUACUGCGAAAGCAUUUGCCAAGGAUGUUUUCAUUAA
rnacentral:rRNA from 1 species